UUGUGUCUUUAUAAGAACAGACACAAAAGUGUUCUCUCCCUUGCAUGCGUGCACUCUCUCUCUUCCCCUCCCUGCCCUUGCCUCCUUGCGUCUGCAUAAAGAAGAGGUUAUAUGGGCACAUUGUGAGAUGGUGGCCUCCCAUGAGCCAAGAAAAGAGGGCUUAAAAUGAAUCCUUCCUGGCUGGCACCUUGAUCUUGGACUUCCUAGCAUCCAGAAAUGUGACAUGGUUUUCUGGUGCCUUGGCAACUGCUCACGAUGCAUGGGAAGACUAAACACUUUGUGUACAGCAUUCUGUCUCAUCCAGUGAAGACUUCCUCUGGAUUAUUGCAGCAGACACCUCUAACCUCUUUAAUCUGUACUGAAUCUUGCUCUGUCGCCAGGCUGGAGUGCAGUGGUGCGAUAUUGGCUCACUGCAACCUCCGCCUCUCAGGUUCAAGCGAUUAUCCUGCCUCAGCCUUUUGAGUAGCUGGGACUACAGGCACAUGGUACCAUGCCAGACUAAUUUUUGUAUUUUUAGUAGAGACGGGAUUAUCACUAUGUUGGCCAAGAUGGUUUUGAUCUCUUGACUUCGUGAUCCGCCCUCCUCGGCCUCCCAAAGUGCUGGGAUUUCAGGCGUUAGCCACUGCGCCCAGCCUGGACUUGUCUAUUUCAUUUGGAGAACUUCAAUUGAUCUAAAUCUACUUUGCAGCUUUUCAUUGUUAAUUUUGAAUUUAUUUAAACAAGUAAAAUAUUUAAGACAUUUGUGUGGAAAACCUGUAACAAAUUGGAUUUGGUUCAAUCUCUGAUUAUGUUUUAGAUA
rnacentral:antisense_RNA from 1 species